AUGCGAUAAGUAAUAUAAAUUGUAGAAUCUCGUGAAUCAUUGAAUCUUUCAACACAUAUUGCGCCCUAUGGUAUUCCGUAGGGCAUGCCUGUCUGAGUAUCAGCUCCCCCACACUCAAACUUCUUAAUUGAAGGUCGGAUUACUUUAAAGAAGCAGCUGAAAUAUAAUAGGCUACUCUUUAGAAAUUGAUAGGCAGAAUGGCACCUGAACAAGGCGUAAUGAGAAUAUACAAGCGUCUCUCUUUAGGAAGGUUGUACUUGCUUUAACCCAACCAUUUUCUUCUGGGUGACCUCAGAUCAGGUAGCGAUACCCGCUGAACUUAA
rnacentral:rRNA from 1 species